AAACCGCCCAGAGGUAAACGGGUGGAUCCGCAAAGUCGGCCCGCGGAAUUCAGCGCGGCGCGCAGCCCCGGGCUGUCGCGGUUCGGGAUCCCUGGGACCCGGCCGCGGCGCCGCGCAGGGCUCCGCCGCGUGCACUUUCCGCGGGCAGAGAGCCACAACCGGUUCGGGGAAUGAGGGCGGCGACGAGCUGCCAGGGUUGCAGGUGGGGGCGCUCGCGUCCCUACCAGCCCUGGCUGACGAGCCGCCCCCGGACCGAGGGACCGCCGCGCGCUUCGAGGCCACCCUCCCCUCCCGGCGAGUACGACUGGGAGAGACUGGGCAACCGUGUCUCCCGACCGCUCGCCGGCGAUCGGCGUGGGGCUGGCCGGGCGCGCAACACUGUCAGGGUUGGUGGCAAAUCUGUCGGCAUUCCACCCGACCCGUCUUGAA
rnacentral:rRNA from 1 species